AAAAAAAUUAAAAAGGAAAAGAAAAGAAAUAGAAGGCAUCAAUCUCAAGCAAAAUCUCUCUAGAUUUUCCGUUCUGCAAAUCAAUUGAACGUGUUGCUUCGUAUCCUGAUGUAUUUGGACGAGCCUUGUGGUUCGCCCAGCCGGCAUGUGUGGGCAUAAGCCUUAGGCCAGGAACUGUGCUAGGUCUGGCUGUACCACGGAUUGUCGCCGGAAGCAGACGGCCUGCGUGUCAAGGGCCCCGGGCCAGAGGGGACACUCAUCAGACGUCCGCCUCCUCACUCAUUGCAGACAACCCCACCCGCAUCAUCAACAGUUGUCUCUGAUGCACUUUGGAAUCAACUGCCAUGCAGGUGUCUGAUUCACCCGGGGGCGGGGGCACAGCCUGUGGUGGGGGCGGGGGGUGGGGGAGGUGGGGGGGUGGGAGGUGGCUACAAAGAAAUUACUUUGACUAAGAAGCCCGAGCUAAGCAGACAGUUGCCACAGACGGUGGGGAGGGGAGGGGGCCUCAGUCUCAGCCCUGUUGACAUUUAGGGACAGAUAAUUCUGUGGGGGGGGGGGGGCUGACCUGUGCACUGUGGCGGGUUUAGCGGUCUCCCUGACCGCUACCCACUGGAGGCCCCCACCCCCAAGUGUGACAACUGAAGCAGCCUCCAGACCCUGCCAGAUGUCCCCUGGAGGCCGAGACGGGCCCCAGUCGAGAACCGGUGACUUAGAUGAUCGGCAUCUGCCCCCGAGACCUGCCAGAUCGUCCUGAGAACCAAAUGAAAGAGAGUACGGG
rnacentral:lncRNA from 1 species